rnacentral:rRNA from 1 species
AUUGAACGCUGGCGGCAUGCUUUACACAUGCAAGUCGGACGGCAGCGAGGAGAAGCUUGCUUCUCUGUCGGCGAGUGGCGAACGGGUGAGUAUAGCAUCGGAACGUGCCAAGUAGUGGGGGAUAACCAAACGAAAGUUUGGCUAAUACCGCGUAAGCUCUAAGGAGGAAAGUAGGGGACCUAAAUAAGGCCUUACGCUAUUUGAUCGGCCGAUGUCGGAUUAGCUAGUUGGUGGGGUAAUGGCUCACCAAGGCAAUGAUCCGUAGCGGGUCUGAGAGGACGAUCCGCCACACUGGGACUGAGACACGGCCCAGACUCCUACGGGAGGCAGCAGUGGGGAAUUUUGGACAAUGGGGGAAACCCUGAUCCAGCCCUGCCGCGUGUAUGAAGAAGGCCUUAGGGUUGUAAAGUACUUUUGUUAGGGAAGAAAGGCUAGUUUUUAAUAAAAAUUAGUGAUGACGGUACCUAAAGAAUAAGCACCGGCUAACUACGUG